GUAGGGGGCAAGCGUUAUCCGGAUUUACUGGGUGUAAAGGGAGCGUANACGGCGAUGCAAGUCUGAAGUGAAAUACCCGGGCUCAACCUGGGAACUGCUUUGGAAACUGUAUGGCUAGAGUGCUGGAGAGGUAAGCGGAAUUCCUAGUGUAGCGGUGAAAUGCGUAGAUAUUAGGAGGAACACCAGUGGCGAAGGCGGCUUACUGGACGGUAACUGACGUUGAGGCUCGAAAGCGUGGGGAGCAAACAGGAUUAGAUACCCUGGUAGUCCACGCUGUAAACGAUCAAUACUAGGUGUGCGGGGACUGACCCCCUGCGUGCCGGAGUUAACACAAUAAGUAUUGCACCUGGGGAGU
rnacentral:rRNA from 1 species